rnacentral:rRNA from 1 species
UACGGAGGGAGCUAGCGUUGUUCGGAAUUACUGGGCGUAAAGCGCACGUAGGCGGCCUUGUAAGUUAGAGGUGAAAGCCCGGGGCUCAACCCCGGAAUUGCCUUUAAGACUGCAUCGCUAGAAUUGUGGAGAGGUGAGUGGAAUUCCGAGUGUAGAGGUGAAAUUCGUAGAUAUUCGGAAGAACACCAGUGGCGAAGGCGACUCACUGGACACAUAUUGACGCUGAGGUGCGAAAGCGUGGGGAGCAAACAGG